AGCAAAAAAAAAGUCCAUACAACUCAAAAAUAAAACCAUAAAAACUCAAAUAUGUUUGACUAAGUCUCCAAUCUGACCGAUAUAAACAAACAUAUGCUGCUCUUUCCUUAUCCCAAAAGCUUAAUCGCUUGACGCCACAACUGUUAGAAAUUACCAUAAUGGAAGCAAAAUCUCUCUCAAACGAGUCAAAAGUAGCAAGAUAAUAGACUGAAGAAUAGAAGAGGGAGUCGCAUCGACGAAGAUAACUAGGAAUCACAACUUUCAGAGUUGAUGGAGAGAAGUGCGACCUUGAAGAGCACUUGUAUAAACGGACUAAAUCGGAAAAAUGGUCUCGAUGUCUGAGAAAGGGAAAACAAGAACCUCCAUAAUCGAGUCAAUAAACCAUCUCCAAGCCAAGGUAGGCGGCCUCUAGAACUAGCCACACUAGUUAAAGAAAAAAUGCGUCGUGAGAACACGAAUUCCGCAGUGACCUCCUUUCAUCGAUAUACAACAAGAAAGUACAAAUCUUCAUUGAUAUAUAACAAGAAAGCAUAAAUCUGAAAGGCAACAACCAAA
rnacentral:lncRNA from 1 species